rnacentral:lncRNA from 1 species
UCUCACAGUUGGCUGGUCCCCAGGCCAUCAGUUCCUUGGUGCCAGGGAGCUUGCCUUCAGGGGUGAACAGGUCUUACACUUAAGUUCCAUCAAGCCGUACCCAGCUCAAGGCUUCGCCUUCAUUAACGUCAUUAAAUCCUAGACAACAUGCGUGUCUCCUUGCAUGUCUUGUUUUACAGAACAAAUGUCCUGAUGAUUGGGAUGAAUGGAUAACUUUUCAGGAUCUCAGUUAGUAAAUGACUGAUUUUGAACCCAGGACUGUUUCCAAAGGUCUCGCUCUUUCCAUUACAUUGAAUAGAGUGGAUCCCAUCCACACCAAGUUGUCAAGUCCAGAUCAGACUCGUUUCGCUCUCUGGCAAUUCUUGGGUGGCCGCAGGGCACUCAAAACCUCCUGUGAACAGGCACUAUCAGCAAACCGAGGGCAGACCAGGCGAGACAACUCAGAGCCCAGAAUUCACGCUGCAGCUGCCCCUGGCCUCUCUCUCCAAGCUUCCUUGCUGCCCAGGGAACAGGCAAAGGUCUCAGGACCUCAGCUCUUCUGGCGCAGAGAGAAACACAACAAAAUCCACCAGCUUUUGCCUCCUGUCUCUUUCCAUUUUGUUAGGCCAGUGGAAAGAAGAACCAGAAAAAAAACAUUUUUUCUAAUUUUAAUGUUGUCCAUUGUAAUAAAC